GACAGAGGGUGCAAACGUUGUUCGGAAUUACUGGGCGUAAAGCGAGUGUAGGCGGUCUUAUAAGUCGGGUGUGAAAGCCCCGGGCUCAACCCGGGAAGUGCACUCGAAACUGUGAGGCUAGAGUAUCGGAGAGGUUGGUGGAAUUCUCGGUGUAGAGGUGAAAUUCGUAGAUAUCGAGAGGAACACCGGCGGCGAAGGCGGCCAUCUGGACGAGGACUGACGCUGAGAUGCGAAAGCGUGGGGAGCAAACAGG
rnacentral:rRNA from 1 species